rnacentral:rRNA from 1 species
GGGUUGUGAGGUUAAGCGACUAAGCGUACACGGUGGAUGCCCUGGCAGUCAGAGGCGAUGAAGGACGUGCUAAUCUGCGAUAAGCGUCGGUGAGGUGAUAUGAACCGUUAUAACCGGCGAUUUCCGAAUGGGGAAACCCAGUGUGUUUCGACACACUAUCAUUAACUGAAUCCAUAGGUUAAUGAGGCGAACCGGGGGAACUGAAACAUCUAAGUACCCCGAGGAAAAGAAAUCAACCGAGAUUCCCCCAGUAGCGGCGAGCGAACGGGGAGGAGCCCAGAGCCUGAAUCAGUGUGUGUGUUAGUGGAAGCGUCUGGAAAGGCGCGCGAUACAGGGUGACAGCCCCGUACACAAAAAUGCACAUAUUGUGAGCUCGAUGAGUAGGGCGGGACACGUGGUAUCCUGUCUGAAUAUGGGGGGACCAUCCUCCAAGGCUAAAUACUCCUGACUGACCGAUAGUGAACCAGUACCGUGAGGGAAAGGCGAAAAGAACCCCGGCGAGGGGAGGAAAAAAAGAACCUGAAACCGUGUACGUACAAGCGGUGGGAGCCUCUUUAUGGGGUGACUGCGUACCUUUGUAUAAUGGGUCAGCGACUUAUAUUCUGUAGCAAGGUUAACCGAAUAGGGGAGCCGAAGGGAAACCGAGUCUUAACUGGGCGUUAAGUUGCAGGGUAUAGACCCGAAACCCGGUGAUUCAGCCAUGGGCAGGUUGAAGGUUGGGUAACACUAACUGGAGGACCGAACCGACUAAUGUUGAAAAAAUUAGCGGAUGACUUGUGGCUGGGGUGAAAGGCCAAUCAAACCGGGAGAUAGCUGGUUCUCCCCGAAAGCUAUUUAGGUAGCGCCUCGUGAAUUCAUCUCCGGGGUAGAGCACUGUUUCGGCAAGGGGUCAUCCCGACUUACCAACCCGAUGCAAACUGCGAAUACCGGAGAAUGUUAUCACGGGAGACACACGGCGGGUGCUAACGUCCGUCGUGAAGAGGGAAACAACCCAGACCGCCAGCUAAGGUCCCAAAGUCAUGGUUAAGUGGGAAACGAUGUGGGAAGGCCCAGACAGCCAGGAUGUUGGCUUAGAAGCAGCCAUCAUUUAAAGAAAGCGUAAUAGCUCACUGGUCGAGUCGGCCUGCGCGGAAGAUGUAACGGGGCUAAACCAUGCACCGAAGCUGCGGCAGCGACACUAUGUGUUGUUGGGUAGGGGAGCGUUCUGUAAGCCCGUGAAGGUGGCCUGUGAGGGUUGCUGGAGGUAUCAGAAGUGCGAAUGCUGACAUAAGUAACGAUAAAGCGGGUGAAAAGCCCGCUCGCCGGAAGACCAAGGGUUCCUGUCCAACGUUAAUCGGGGCAGGGUGAGUCGACCCCUAAGGCGAGGCCGAAAGGCGUAGUCGAUGGGAAACAGGUUAAUAUUCCUGUACUUGGGUGUUACCGCGAAGGGGACGGAGAAGGCUAUGUUGGCCGGGCGACGGUUGUCCCGGUUUAAGCGUGUAGGCUGGUUUUCCGUGCAAAUCCGGAAAACCAAGGCUGAGGCGUGAUGACGAGGCACUACGGUGCUGAAGCGACAAAUGCCCUGCUUCCAGGAAAAGCCUCUAAGCAUCAGGUAACAUCAAAUCGUACCCCAAACCGACACAGGUGGUCAGGUAGAGAAUACCAAGGCGCUUGAGAGAACUCGGGUGAAGGAACUAGGCAAAAUGGUGCCGUAACUUCGGGAGAAGGCACGCUGAUAUGUAGGUGAAGCGACUUGCUCGUGGAGCUGAAAUCAGUCGAAGAUACCAGCUGGCUGCAACUGUUUAUUAAAAACACAGCACUGUGCAAACACGAAAGUGGACGUAUACGGUGUGACGCCUGCCCGGUGCCGGAAGGUUAAUUGAUGGGGUUAGCGGUAACGCGAAGCUCUUGAUCGAAGCCCCGGUAAACGGCGGCCGUAACUAUAACGGUCCUAAGGUAGCGAAAUUCCUUGUCGGGUAAGUUCCGACCUGCACGAAUGGCGUAAUGAUGGCGAGGCUGUCUCCACCCGAGACUCAGUGAAAUUGAACUCGCUGUGAAGAUGCAGUGUACCCGCGGCAAGACGGAAAGACCCCGUGAACCUUUACUAUAGCUUGACACUGAACAUUGAGCCUUGAUGUGUAGGAUAGGUGGGAGGCUUUGAAGUGUGGACGCCAGUCUGCAUGGAGCCGACCUUGAAAUACCACCCUUUAAUGUUUGAUGUUCUAACGUUGGCCCGUAAUCCGGGUUGCGGACAGUGUCUGGUGGGUAGUUUGACUGGGGCGGUCUCCUCCUAAAGAGUAACGGAGGAGCACGAAGGUUGGCUAAUCUGGUCGGACAUCAGGAGGUUAGUGCAAUGGCAUAAGCCAGCUUGACUGCGAGCGUGACGGCGCGAGCAGGUGCGAAAGCAGGUCAUAGUGAUCCGGUGGUUCUGAAUGGAAGGGCCAUCGCUCAACGGAUAAAAGGUACUCCGGGAUAACAGGCUGAUACCGCCCAAGAGUUCAUAUCGACGGCGGUGUUUGGCACCUCGAUGUCGGCUCAUCACAUCCUGGGGCUGAAGUAGGUCCCAAGGGUAUGGCUGUUCGCCAUUUAAAGUGGUACGCGAGCUGGGUUUAGAACGUCGUGAGACAGUUCGGUCCCUAUCUGCCGUGGGCGCUGGAGAACUGAGGGGGGCUGCUCCUAGUACGAGAGGACCGGAGUGGACGCAUCACUGGUGUUCGGGUUGUCAUGCCAAUGGCACUGCCCGGUAGCUAAAUGCGGAAGAGAUAAGUGCUGAAAGCAUCUAAGCACGAAACUUGCCCCGAGAUGAGUUCUCCUGAGACUUAGAGUCUCCUGAAGGAACGUUGAAGACGACGACGUUGAUAGGCCGGGUGUGUAAGCGCAGCGAUGCGUUGAGCUAACCGGUACUAAUGAACCGUGAGGCUUAACCUUACAACGCCGAAG